UGGGGAAUAUUGCACAAUGGGCGAAAGCCUGAUGCAGCAACGCCGCGUGAGCGAUGAAGGCCUGGGUCGUAAAGCUCUGUCCUCAAGGAAGAUAAUGACGGUACUUGAGGAGGAAGCCCCGGCUAACUACGUGCCAG
rnacentral:rRNA from 1 species